rnacentral:rRNA from 2 species
GAGCUCACCUAUCAUGCAGUCGAGCGACUGAUUAGAAGCUUGCUUCUAUGACGUUAGCGGCGGACGGGUGAGUAACACGUGGGCAACCUGCCUGUAAGACUGGGAUAACUUCGGGAAACCGAAGCUAAUACCGGAUAGGAUCUUCUCCUUCAUGGGAGAUGAUUGAAAGAUGGUUUCGGCUAUCACUUACAGAUGGGCCCGCGGUGCAUUAGCUAGUUGGUGAGGUAACGGCUCACCAAGGCAACGAUGCAUAGCCGACCUGAGAGGGUGAUCGGCCACACUGGGACUGAGACACGGCCCAGACUCCUACGGGAGGCAGCAGUAGGGAAUCUUCCGCAAUGGACGAAAGUCUGACGGAGCAACGCCGCGUGAGUGAUGAAGGCUUUCGGGUCGUAAAACUCUGUUGUUAGGGAAGAACAAGUACGAGAGUAACUGCUCGUACCUUGACGGUACCUAACCAGAAAGCCACGGCUAACUACGUGCCAGCAGCCGCGGUAAUACGUAGGUGGCAAGCGUUAUCCGGAAUUAUUGGGCGUAAAGCGCGCGCAGGCGGUUUCUUAAGUCUGAUGUGAAAGCCCACGGCUCAACCGUGGAGGGUCAUUGGAAACUGGGGAACUUGAGUGCAGAAGAGAAAAGCGGAAUUCCACGUGUAGCGGUGAAAUGCGUAGAGAUGUGGAGGAACACCAGUGGCGAAGGCGGCUUUUUGGUCUGUAACUGACGCUGAGGCGCGAAAGCGUGGGGAGCAAACAGGAUUAGAUACCCUGGUAGUCCACGCCGUAAACGAUGAGUGCUAAGUGUUAGAGGGUUUCCGCCCUUUAGUGCUGCAGCUAACGCAUUAAGCACUCCGCCUGGGGAGUACGGUCGCAAGACUGAAACUCAAAGGAAUUGACGGGGGCCCGCACAAGCGGUGGAGCAUGUGGUUUAUUUCGAGCAACGCGAGACCUUACCAGGUCUUGACAUCCUCUGACACUCUAGAGAUAGAGCGUUCCCCUUCGGGGGACAGAAGUGACAGUGAUGCAUGUUGUCGUCAGCUCGUGUCGUGAGAUGUGGGGUUAGUCCCGCAACGAGCGCAACCCUUGAUCUUAGGUUGCAGCAAUUAGUGGGCACUCUAGUGACUGGCCGUGACAACCGGAGGAGGUGGGAAUGGACGUCAUUACUCAUGCCCCUUUAGUG